rnacentral:rRNA from 1 species
UACGUAGGGGGGCUAGCGUUGUCCGGAUUUAUUGGGCGUAAAGAGCGUGUAGGCGGCCAGGUAGGUCUGGUGUGAAAAACUCGAGGCUUAACCUCGAGAUGUCAUCGGAAACCAUCUGGCUAGAGUCCGGAAGAGGAGAGUGUAGUACUCGGUGUAGCGGUGAAAUGCGCAGAUAUCAGGAGGAACACCGGUGGCGAAGG